AAAUGCUUAGGUAGUAUAUUUAUUACUUUGGU
rnacentral:tRNA from 4 species